rnacentral:rRNA from 1 species
UACGUAGGUGGCAAGCGUUGUCCGGAUUUAUUGGGUUUAAAGGGUGCGUAGGCGGCUCCUUAAGUCAGUGCUGAAAUACUCUAGCUUAACUAGAGGGGUGGCAUUGAUACUGAGGAGCUUGAGUGGAGUCGAGGUAGGCGGAAUUGACGGUGUAGCGGUGAAAUGCUUAGAUAUCGUCAAGAACACCGAUAGUGUAGACAGCUUACUAGGCUUCAACUGACGCUGAGGCACGAAAGUGUGGGGAUCAAAC